UGGGGAAUAUUGGGCAAUGGGGGCAACCCUGACCCAGCGACGCCGCGUGGGGGAAGACGGCCUUCGGGUUGUAAACCUCUUUUGUACGGGAAGAAGGAAGUGACGGUACUGUACGAAUAAGUCCCGGCUAACUACGUGCCAGCAGCCGCGGUAAUACGUAGAGGACGAGCGUUGUCCGGAAUUACUGGGCGUAAAGGGCGCGCAGGCUGUGCUGCAAGUCAGCUGUUAAAUGUCUGGGCUUAACCCGGGCAUGCGGUUGAGACUGCAGUGCUGGAGUGCUGUAGAGGCAAGUGGAAUUCCCAGUGUAGCGGUGAAAUGCGUAGAUAUUGGGAAGAACACCGGUGGCGAAGGCGACUUGCUGGGCAGCAACUGACGCU
rnacentral:rRNA from 1 species